rnacentral:rRNA from 1 species
UACGGGGGGGGUAAGCGUUGUUCGGAAUUACUGGGCGUAAAGGGCUCGUAGGCGGCCAACUAAGUCAGACGUGAAAUCCCUCAGCUUAACUGGGGAACUGCGUCUGAUACUGGAUGACUUGGAUUCGGGAGAGGAAUGCGGAAUUCCAGGUGUAGCGGUGAAAUGCGUAGAUAUCUGGAGGAACACCGGUGGCGAAGGCGGCAUUCUGGACCGAUAUUGACGCUGAGGAGCGAAAGCCAGGGGAGCAAACGGG